rfam:Pseudothermotoga thermarum DSM 5069 chromosome, complete genome.
GUUUCCAUUCCUUAUAGGUAGGGUUCAAAC